CCUACGGGAGGCAGCAGUCGAGAAUCAUUCACAAUGGGGGAAACCCUGAUGGUGCGACGCCGCGUGGGGGAAUGAAGGUCUUCGGAUUGUAAACCCCUGUCAUGUGGGAGCAAAUGAAAAAGAUAGUACCACAAGAGGAAGAGACGGCUAACUCUGUGCCAGCAGCCGCGGUAAUACAGAGGUCUUAAGCGUUGUUCGGAAUCACUGGGCGUAAAGCGUGCGUAGGCUGUUUCGUAAGUCGUGUGUGAAAGGCGCGGGCUCAACCCGCGGACGGCACAUGAUACUGCGAGACUAGAGUGAUGGAGGGGGAACCGGAAUUCUCGGUGUAGCAGUGAAAUGCGUAGAUAUCGAGAAGAACACUCGUGGCGAAGGCGGGUUCCUGGACAUUAACUGACGCUGAGGCACGAAGGCCAGGGGAGCGAAAGGGAUUAGAUACCCCUGUAGUC
rnacentral:rRNA from 1 species